GACAGAGGUGCCAAGCGUUAGGCGGAAUCACUGGGCUUAAAGCGUGUGUAGGCGGAAUUCUAAGUACCUUGUGAAAUCCCACGGCUCAACCGUGGAACUGCUUGGUAUACUGGUUUUCUUGAGCCACUUAGGGGCUGUCGGAACAAGCGGUGGAGCGGUGAAAUGCGUAGAUAUCGUAAGGAAGACCAGUGGCGAAGGCGGGUCUCUGGACAGUUCCUGACGCUGAGGCACGAAGGCCAGGGGAGCAAACGGG
rnacentral:rRNA from 1 species